UACGUAGGGGGCAAGCGUUGUCCGGAUUUAUUGGGCGUAAAGAGCGUGUAGGCGGCCUGAAAGGUCAGCUGUGAAAACUCGAGGCUCAACCUCGAGACGUCGGUUGAAACCAUCUGGCUAGAGUCCGGAAGAGGAGUGUGGAAUUCCCGGUGUAGCGGUGAAAUGCGCAGAUAUCGGGAAGAACACCCGUGGCGAAGGCGGCACUCUGGGACGGUACUGACGCUGAGAGACGAAAGCUAGGGGAGCGAAUGGG
rnacentral:rRNA from 1 species